rnacentral:misc_RNA from 1 species
GAAAUGCGAUAAGUAGUGUGAAUUGCAGAAUUCAGUGAAUCAUCGAAUCUUUGAACGCACAUUGCGCCCUUCGGUAUUCCGUUGGGCAUGCCUGUUCGAGCGUCAUUUAAACCUUCAAGCUCUGCUUGGUGUUGGGUGUUUGUUCCGCCUCAGCGCGUGGACUCGCCUCAAAUUCAUUGGCAGCCGGUAUGUUGGCUUCGUGCGCAGCACAUUGCAAGCGAUUUCAGCACACCCCCUUCCACAAGCCUUUUUUUACUUUGACCUCGGAUCAGGUAGGGAUACCCGCUGAACUUAA